ensembl:lncRNA
UUGGAUUAUAUAUAUUUUUCCCCCUGCAGUUAUCUAGCAUGGGUGGAAAAGGCUUCAUUUGAUGUGAUGGUACUGUAUCAAAGUGCAGCCAUCCUGAGGCUAAUUGAAAGCAGCCCAGAGCAGGAAGGCAUGUAAGUUUUCUAUGUUUUCCAGCAGGCUGUAGAGCACAUAGACACAGCUGAAGAAACAGCACUCCAAAGCAACCAGAAAAAGAAACUCAUCAUCCCAGAUGUGCUUCCAGAUGGGUUACUGGCCUCAAAUGCUUUAAGCCUCAAAUGCAUAGACUCCUGUUAUCACGCAACUCCAAGUAAACAGAAAGGAAAUACCCAAGCAUGUCACAGGCAAAUAUUUAUCACAAUGUCCAUUAUCUACAAAGCUGCAGAUGAUGAGAAGUUUUGGAUGAAGAACAGCGGGUAUACAGGUCAGAGCCAGAUACAUUCUUUAAAAUGCAUGAAGUGUAAUAUAGAGAAACAAUUACAGGUUGCUUGCAAAAUCACAUUCUUUAGCCUCAGAACACUUAAUGCAACACAAACGCUAAAGAAACAGGGUGCAGUUGUGUAGAAC